AUCUGAUAUCUUUUCUCUUGAAGGCUUCUGCUUUUUUGUUCUUUUUUUUAUCCCAACAUUCUAAGCAUCAAUAACCAUGAAGUGGAAUUGGUGAAUGAUUAUGUUUCUUGGAAAUAUCAUGAGCGAUUAGUAGUUUCUUUCCCUGAUCAUUAACGCAUGCUUAAUUUUCCUGUUUGAGCUUAGUUCCUUGUGUGUGAGAUGCUAUAGUUUUAGGUUUUUGGCUUCUGAAAUUACUGAUGGAAGUCUCCAGGCACAAUUGAUCUAUGGAAGGCAGUUGCAUACCCCCAUAGAUAGGGAGGUAUGAUUUAGGGGGACUUGAGUUGCAGACUGGGGUUUGAGGAGAGGAACAUUAUUAUGUGUGGAAUAAGGGGAUAGAUCUUAUUGUUAAACAUGAAUAUACUUUUUGGAUCUGUCAUUCUAGCGAUGUCCUAAUAUACAUUAUUGUUCGUCUGAAUCUAGGUUUAAAUCGACGAGGUUGGGUACCGGUGUGAACCUGUAUAAACAGGCCCUGCUCCUUUCUUCUGGAAAUGGUCAGAGACAUCAGCAUGAUGCCCGCCCUGGGUAAUUGAUAUGAUGGAUAUCGAUGCAUCUUUGCUGGCAUUCGAGGGGUUGCCAAUUGGAUUGAGAAACUUCUGCAAGAACUGUAUACUCUUACUAAAGCUUCUGAGUACCAAUUUUGAAUCGAUCAUCAUGUGAGAUGGUUUAAAAGAUGCUUGUGGUAUAGCAAAAUUUUAAAAUGAAGCUAAUUAAUCAGUAAUUCGGCUGAUCAUGCUCCCUAGUCUUGUGCAUCAUAUAUAACAGAAUUAAGAGGAAAAUAGGAUGACCGAAAGGUUUUACAGGAGCAAAUGGUAAGUCAAUAAAUGAGAAGCACACCUAAGACCAAGUGCAGUUCCUUAAGGAUGAAAGAGAACAAAACAAGGCAGCAUAAAGUACCUUUUCCCCUCAUUUUCUGUGUGUGUGUGUGUGCAUGUGCUCACGUGUGCGCUGCACCAUGUGUGAUAGAGGUAUAAGGUUAAUAUAACAUGAAUGCUGCUGUUGUUCUCUUCGAUCAUGAUGUAAAGUUAAACCUGGCAACAAUUUUAUAACGAAUACUAUACUUGAAAAUUUUGAUAGCUUGGAAAGCUAAGGAUACAAUGCAACUUCCAAUUAGCUGCAUGCAGUUAUUCAGAACGACUUGAAAUAGGACUCUGGACUUUCUUGACUACUUAGUAGACUUUUCUUGAGGGAUGACUAAUGAUCCUAAGUUAUUUAUAGGUAGACAUUCAAGGAACUUGGUAGUCACUGAUUCCAAAUCCUACCUUUAUAUCAUACUUUUACUGGUAUGAUUCCAUUAUACAUAUUGUCUCGUACCAACAAGUUGGAAAUUUUAUUUCCCACAUAAUUAUUGUCUUAUGGGUGGUUGAUCCACACAGUAUUGUCGUUUGAUUUUUUUUUUUUUU